rnacentral:rRNA from 1 species
GGGGAAUCUUGCACAAUGGGGGCAACCCUGAUGCAGCGACGCCGCGUGAGCGACGAAGCCCUUCGGGGCGUAAAGCUCUUUCGACCGGAACGAUAAUGACGGUACCGGGAGAAGAAGCUGCGGCUAACUACGUGCCAGCAGCCGCGGUAAUACGUAGGCAGCAAGCGUUGUUCGGAGUUACUGGGCGUAAAGAGUGCGUAGGCGGUUUUCUAAGUUCGGUGUGAAAUCUCCCGGCUUAACUGGGAGGGUGCGCCGAAGACUGGGAAGCUGGAGUGUGGGAAAGGCAGGCGGAAUUCCUGGUGUAGCGGUGAAAUGCGUAGAUAUCAGGAGGAACACCGGCGGUGUAGACGGCUUGCUAGACCAUAACUGACGCUGAGGCACGAAAGCGUGGGUAGCAAACA